AGCGAACGCUGGCGGCAGGCCUAACACAUGCAAGUCGAACGGACCCUUCGGGGUUAGUGGCGGACGGGUGAGUAACACGUGGGAACGUGCCUUUAGGUUCGGAAUAGCUCCUGGAAGCGGGUGGUAAUGCCGAAUGUGCCCUUCGGGGGAAAGAUUUAUCGCCUUUAGAGCGGCCCGCGUCUGAUUAGCUUGUUGGUGGGGUAAUGGCCCACCAAGGCUACGAUCAGUAGCUGGUCUGAGAGGAUGACCAGCCACAUUGGGACUGGGACACGGCCCAAACUCCUACGGGAGGCAGCAGUGGGGAAUCUUGCGCAAUGGGCGAAAGCCUGACGCAGCCAUGCCGCGUGUAUGAUGAAGGUCUUAGGAUUGUAAAAUACUUUCACCGGUGAAGAUAAUGACUGUAGCCGGAGAAGAAGCCCCGGCUAACUUCGUGCCAGCAGCCGCGGUAAUACGAAGGGGGCUAGCGUUGCUCGGAAUUACUGGGCGUAAAGGGAGCGUAGGCGGACAUUUAAGUC
rnacentral:rRNA from 1 species